GAUGAACGCUGGCGGCGUGCCUAAUACAUGCAAGUCGAGCGAACGGACGAGAAGCUUGCUUUUCUGAUGUUAGCGGCGGACGGGUGAGUAACACGUGGAUAACCUACCUAUAAGACUGGGAUAACUUCGGGAAACCGGAGCUAAUACCGGAUAAUAUUUUGAACCGCAUGGUUCAAAAGUGAAAGACGGUCUUGCUGUCACUUAUAGAUGGAUCCGCGCUGCAUUAGCUAGUUGUUAAGGUAACGGCUUACCAAGGCAACGAUGCAUAGCCGACCUGAGAGGAUGAUCGGCAACACUGGAACUGAGCCACGUUCCAGCAUCCUACGGGAGGCGGCCAAAGGGAAUAUUCCGCAAUGGUCGAAAGCUUGACGGAGCAAGGCCGCGUGAGUGAGGAAGGUCUUCGGAUCGUAAAACUCUUUUAUUAGGGAAGAAAAUAUGUUUAAGUACCUGUGCACAAAUUUACGUUAACUAAUACGAAAGCCACGGCCAACUACGUG
rnacentral:rRNA from 1 species